UUCCAGGCUAGCCACAUCACUGCGUC
rnacentral:piRNA from 1 species